GACGAACGCUGGCGGCGUGCUUAACCCAUGCAAGUCGAACGAAGUGGCGAACGGGUGAGUAACGCGUAAUCAACCUGCCCUUCAGAGGGGUACAACAGUUGGACACGACUGCUAAUCCCGCAUACUGAAGGAGGGGAUUGCGUCUGAUUAGCUAGUGGGAGGGGUAACGGCCCACCAAGGCGAUGAUCAGUAGCCGGUCUGAGGUGGUGAACUGGCAGAUUGGGACUGAGACACGGCCCAGAGUCCUACGGGAGGCAGCAGGGGGGAAACUUCCGCAAUGGAGGAAAGUCGGACGGAGCAACGCCGCGUGAGUGAUGACGGCCUUCGGGUUGGAAAGCUCUGUUAAUCGGGACGCGGUACCGGAAUAGAAAGCCACGGCUAACUACGUGCCAGCAGCCGCGGUAAUUC
rnacentral:rRNA from 1 species